AUUGAACGCUGGCGGCAGGCCUAACACAUGCAAGUCGAGCGAGCGGCGGACGGGAGAGUAAUGCCUGGGAAUUGCCCAGUCGAGGGGGAUAACAGUUGGAAAGGACUGCUUAUCCCGCAUAAGAUGGUGUUCCCCAGGUGGGUUUAGCUAGUUGGUGAGGUAAUGGCUCCCCAAGGCGACGACCCCUAGCUGGUCUGAGAGGAUGAACAGCCAAACUGGAACUGAGACACGGUCCAGACUCCUACGGGAGGCAGCAGUGGGGAAUAUUGCACAAUGGGGGAAACCCUGAUGCAGCCAUGCCGCGUGAGUGAAGAAGGCCUUCGGGUUGUAAAGCACUUUCAGCGGGGAGGCGUUACUCGCAGAAGAAGCACCGGCUAACUCCGUGCCAGCAGCCGCGGUAAUUC
rnacentral:rRNA from 1 species